GGGUUGUGAGGUUAAGCGACUAAGCGUACACGGUGGAUGCCCUGGCAGUCAGAGGCGAUGAAGGGCGUGCUAAUCUGCGAUAAGCGCCGGUAAGGUGAUAUGAACCGUUAUAACCGGCGAUACCCGAAUGGGGAAACCCAGUGUGACUCGUCACACUAUCAUUAACUGAAUCCAUAGGUUAAUGAGGCGAACCGGGGGAACUGAAACAUCUAAGUACCCCGAGGAAAAGAAAUCAACCGAGAUUCCCCCAGUAGCGGCGAGCGAACGGGGAGGAGCCCAGAGCCUGAAUCAGCAUGUGUGUUAGUGGAAGCGUCUGGAAAGGCGCGCGAUACAGGGUGACAGCCCCGUACACAAAAGCGCAUGUGCUGUGAGCUCGAUGAGUAGGGCGGGACACGUGGUAUCCUGUCUGAAUAUGGGGGGACCAUCCUCCAAGGCUAAAUACUCCUGACUGACCGAUAGUGAACCAGUACCGUGAGGGAAAGGCGAAAAGAACCCCGGCGAGGGGAGUGAAAAAGAACCUGAAACCGUGUACGUACAAGCAGUGGGAGCACAGGUUUACCUGUGUGACUGCGUACCUUUUGUAUAAUGGGUCAGCGACUUAUAUUCUGUAGCAAGGUUAACCGAAUAGGGGAGCCGCAGGGAAACCGAGUCUUAAUUGGGCGUUAAGUUGCAGGGUAUAGACCCGAAACCCGGUGAUCUAGCCAUGGGCAGGUUGAAGGUUGGGUAACACUAACUGGAGGACCGAACCGACUAAUGUUGAAAAAUUAGCGGAUGACCUGUGGCUGGGGGUGAAAGGCCAAUCAAACCGGGAGAUAGCUGGUUCUCCCCGAAAGCUAUUUAGGUAGCGCCUCGUGAACU
rnacentral:rRNA from 1 species